AGAGAGAGAGAGAGCAAUUUGUUAAAAGUUCAUGAAGAUCGAGAGAGAGAGAGACCCAGUUGUUAAAAUCUCAUGAAGAUCUAAUCAAACCAGGAUAUCAUAUGAAAUCUAACAAAAGAAGAACAAAAACCCAUGUCACAACACACAUACAUGAAAAAUCAAUAAUUCCUCUGUCAAAAAUCAUGCAAGGUAAAAAAAAAAAAAAGACCCAUCUGCCAAAAUAUCAUCAAAAGCAAACAAACACCAGAUACCAAAAUCAUAAAAAAAUCACUUUCAAACCCUUUUUCCUCAAUCACUUUCUUUAAAA